UCCUCUCCCUGCUGCAUUCAGUCAGCCGCCCCCUGCCUCCAGCCUGCGCUUAGCCAUGCUUUCAGCCCCGCGUGCUGCCCUUCCCCGCUGCGUCUUCUGCCACCUGUCCCUCUGGCUGAGAGUCAUGCUUGUUCCGUGCUUUGCAGGAUGGGCUCGGGCCCCGGAAUGUGACAGGAGCCAAGCCCUGCUUUGAUGUCUUGCUGGCCAGGGCGAGGUUUGGGCACCUUCGUUGUGUGUGCGCUUUGAGGUGGCCGCAUUUGCAGAGGCUAGGAUCUGCAGCAAAGCGGGGCCCGAGCACGGCUUCACAAAGCCCCUGUUCCAUGUGGAUAUCCUCCCGCACUCCUUCAGAAGCCCCCACCUACUUUAUCUUCUUUCAGGAGCCACCAGGUCCCAGAGCAGCCGUUGGGCUAAAGAAGGGGCCGGCUCAGUGCACAUCUCCAAGCUCACACGUUGGGCCUGGUAUGGUUUAGUUUCCUUCAUUUCUUCGGCUCUGGGCUUGGUCCGGGCCUCUAGACCUUGGCCAGGGUGUUCGUUCCAGCACAUCUCCUACCUUAUCCUCCCUAGACCUUUGGUUAUUAUAAAGCUCCUCAUGUAUUUCCUGAAGAGCUCCUUGGUCCCGAUUUUGACCACCUGCUCUUGCUUCCCAUCUAUGUCCAUCAAGACUGCAUUUGAUUUCAGAUCAUGGAAAACCCAACUAGCUGCAGCACGGAUCUGAAGAGUCUUCUGUGUCUCAUGUAAUAAGAUGUCUGGAGGGCAGCAGGUCCCCUGGGUCAUCAGUGCUCUUCUGUCUUUAUCUGCUGCCAUCCUGAACAGUUGGAUUGUUGCUUCAUGGUGACAAGAUGGCUGCUGCACCUCCAAGCAUCACAUCUGCUUUCACAGCAAGAAGAAAGUAGCCAAGCAAAGUGGCCAAAAGGGCCCUGAAACCAAAUGUUUUUCCUUUUUAUUAGGAAAGCAAGAGUUCUGUGACAAGUCCCAGCUGGCUGACCCCCACUUAUGUCUCAUUGGCCAGAGCUGAGUCUCAUGGAUGCCCCUGGCUAUACACAGGAGGCUGGAACACGGAGCAUUUUGUUUUCUGACUCACUAGUUGCAGAAAUCAAGGGAGGGGGGCAUUGAGGAUGGCUUUUGAGUAACCAGUCGAUGGCAUCUGCCCUUGCAUCUCUCCAUUCAUCCCCCAGGAGGCCUCUCAGCACUUCUCCUGGCCCUGCCCAUGGCUUUAGAGGCUGUCACAGGAUGAAAGCCUGGCCCAGCAUCUCCCAAGUGUCCAAAUGUCCACUUUUGAAUGAAUUCAGAAAGCAACUGCCAAGUGCCUACAGACCGCUUGGCAUAAGGGGCCAGUGAUGCAAGACAUUUCCCGCUGAUCUUGUUAGGACAGUUUUGCAAGUUGCUACCGCCCUGUGAAGGCCCUCAAAGCCCAACGCCAGACUUCAUGGCAGCCUCCCAAAUCAUGGUUUUCAGUGCUCCCGUCAACAUUAUUCUGGAAGAAUCUUCCAGCCAAGUCUCGCUGCACUCUGGAUGUUGUACAUGUGUGGGCCCCAAGAGCUUCCGUUCCCACCCCACGGGGAAGGGGACCCUGCGGGCGGUGGGUUUUGCCAGGCUGCUCUGUCUUCUCCCGAGACGACCAUAAUUAAAAUGGGUUCCAUUUGA